UACGGGGGGAGCAAGCGUUGUUCGGAUUUACUGGGCGUAAAGGGCGCGUAGGCGGCCUGUGCAAGUCAGUUGUGAAAUCUCCGGGCUUAACUCGGAACGGUCAACUGAUACUGCUCGGCUAGAGUGCGGAAGGGGCAACUGGAAUUCUUGGUGUAGCGGUGAAAUGCGUAGAUAUCGAGAGGAACACCGGUGGCGAAGGCGGGUCUCUGGCCCGGUACUGACGCUGAGGUGCGAAAGCGUGGGGAGCAAACAGG
rnacentral:rRNA from 1 species